rnacentral:rRNA from 1 species
GAUGAACGCUAGCUACAGGCUUAACACAUGCAAGUCGAGGGGCAGCACAGAGAUAGCUUGCUAUCUUGGGUGGCGACCGGCGCACGGGUGAGUAACGCGUAUCCAACCUGCCCAUUACUCUGGGAUAGCCUUGCGAAAGUAAGAUUAAUACCGGAUGUUGUUAAAAACCCGCAUGAGUUUUUAACCAAAGAUUUAUUGGUAAUGGAUGGGGAUGCGUGACAUUAGGUAGUAGGUGAGGUAACGGCUCACCUAGCCGACGAUGUCUAGGGGUUCUGAGAGGAAGGUCCCCCCACACUGGAACUGAGACACGGUCCAGACUCCUACGGGAGGCAGCAGUGAGGAAUAUUGGUCAAUGGACGAGAGUCUGAACCAGCCAAGUAGCGUGAAGGAAGACUGCCCUAUGGGUUGUAAACUUCUUUUAGUUCGGGUAAUAAAGUGCAGUACGCGUACUGUUUUGUAUGUACCGUUCGAAUAAGCAUCGGCUAAUUCCGUGCCAGCAGCCG